CUGAGUCAGACAAUCCUAUUGCCAGCUGAUAAUGUGUGGAGGUGGGUACUUUAAAAACCACCUCACAGACAAUAAUUGGAUUUUUCCUCUUCCGGAAAUAUUUACCAAGAGAUUUAUCCUCCGUAUGGAAACUGGGAGAAACAUAGCAACUCCUUGAAAUUUCAGCCCUGAAAAGUUUGGCAACAAUUCCAGCUCAGGGCACUGAAAUAACAACAGUAUUUGGGCCACUAGAAUGCUUUACCAACUGCCUUCCCAAGGAAGGACUCCAGGGCAAGAGAAGACUGCAACCCCAUCCACCAGUCAGAGAAGAAUGGCUCCAGUGAACUCUGAUUCCUCAUUCCUGAACAGAAGAAUUCUGCCAGGGGCCACAAAGUGGAGUCCAUGACUUGCAAGUGUGGAGAAGAGCAAACCAUAGACCAUCAAUUACAAUGCAGUCUGAGCCCUGCCACAUGCACAAUGGAGGACCUUCUUAUAGCGACACCAGAGGCAAUCCAAGUGGCCAGCUACUGGUCAAAGGACAUUCAGCAAAAUGACAAGUUUUCAAACUUUAUUUGUGUUUUUAAAUACAUUACAACUGUACCCUCAGUUCACUUCUGAUACGAUAAAUAAAUACCCCCUUCUAUAUUUGAGGAAGAAUAACAUAACAUAAAUAUUGUAGACUAGUUUUCAUUCUGUUUCUUUAUGUAGCCCCUUUCUAAUUGUGUCCCUGAUUUAUGAUCCUUUCUAUUUGCUUUUCAAUGAAAAUCUAUUUUUAGCCAUUUCUAUUCUGAGCAUCAUUUCAUUGCAGAUAAAUUUUAUGUUCUCCUUCAAUGCCCAAAUGUUCCUGAAUUUAAAUAGCGUCAACACCAUUGAUUUUAUUUCACGUACUUAAAGUUUAAGUUUAUGCUUCACUGCAGUAUAUGGAUAUGGGUCACUUGCAGAGUCAUUACUAUUGAAUCAUAGCGAAUUGCUUCGCUGUUUUCACUAGGUGUGACGGUGAGCGAAAAUGACACAAGAUCCAUUCAAAUGUUGCUUUGCAGUUGUAAUUAACAAGUGAUUGUGAUUCCUAUCACAUACACUGACUUAUAUUAUGCCAAACCAUACAUUUUCCACUCAGUUUGUCAAUAAUAACUGGGCAGUGGAGGACUCACAAUUCUGAGUUAUCAAAUAGCGGUUUUGAUAGGAACACAAGAAGUUGAUCUGCAGGAAGCAGACCUUAUGAUCCAACUAGCUGAAUGCUAUUCAGUGGUUCUCACCUCUGCCUUUGGCUUUCAGAUGUUUUCAGACUACAGUUCUCUGAUGGAGCCCCUGGUGGCACAGUGGGUUAAACCCUUGUUCUGGCAGGACUGCUGAUUUGAAGGUUGGGUUGCUGACCUGAAGGUUGCUGGUUCGAAUCCAACCCGGGAAGAGUGCAGAUGAGCUUCUUCUAUCAGCUCCAGCUCCGUGUGGGGGCAUGAGAGAAGCUUCCCACAAGAAUGGUAAAAAUAUCAAAACAUCUGGGCAUUCCCUGGGCAAUAUCCUUGCAGAUGGCCAAUUCUCUCAUACCAGAAGUGACUUGCGGUUUCUCAAAUCACUCCUGACACACAAAAAGUUCCCUUAUGUGUCCAAAGAAAAGAUUAAAAACAGUGUUUUGAGUUGAAUGGUUUUUUACCUUGCCUUUCUGGUUUUUACUGACCUUUCGAUCCCACCUCUUUAGACAUAAGUAUUGCUUCCUAACCCAGGCUACUUACUGACUUAGGUGAUCCCUUGUAGCUCGAGGAUGAUGGUCCUCCAAAUGUAGUGUCUUGGCGGUGGAUGCGUAGGUGGCUGUGGAGACCUAUUCUUGACCCGCAUGUUCUUUUGCAGUGAAGACAUCAGUUUCCAGAUGGAAGGCAGUACUGGUCAGGGUUUGCUUGACGCACCUUCCUCUAGGUACAUUUUCCCCUUUUGCCGUCUAUUCGUGCCUCUUCAAAUUCCACAGCACAGCUGACCUGCAGUUAUUUAUUAUUUAUUUAUUACAGCAUAUACUGGGCUCCGGCUGUGGCGCAGGCUGGAGAGCAGCUGCAAUGAAUCACUGCAAUGAAUCACUCUGACCAGGAGGUCAUGAGUUCGAGGCCCACUCGGAGCCUAUGUUUGUCUUGUCUUUGUUCUAUGUUAAAAGGCAUUGAAUGUUUGCCUAUAUGUGUAAUGUGAUCCGCCCUGAGUCCCCUUCGGGACAGAUAAAUGCUGUAAAUAAAUAAAUAAAUAAAUAAAUAAAUAAAUAAAUAAAUACUGCCCUUCUCACCCAACAGGGGACUCAGGGUGGCAUACAAUAAAAACACGCAUAUAAAAUACAGAACAUUCUGAUCGCUCAAGGGCCAGGGCUUCCCAGUUUUCGGUGUCUAUGCCACAGUUUUUGAGGUUGGCUUUAAGCCCAGGAUUAAAUCUCUUUUCCUGUCCACCAACAUUAUGUUUCCCAUGCUGGAGUCAGGAGUAUAGCAGGCUAGCAGCAACUGGUUGGUUCCAUGACAAUAGGGUAGAAAUAGACAUCUGGAUAUCAUUCAAAUAUAUAAAGGACCUUUCCAGUGUGCUGAAUCAUAUCCCCCCCACCCCCACCCCCAACUAGAUUAUGGUAGGAUAAUUGUCAUUUUGACAUUUUUAUACAAGAUAGGACUAAAUUGACAGAAAUAUCUUGAUCAAUCUUCCCUGCCCUAUCAUACCUCCCCUCCCCAUGACAAUCCAUUUAUCAAACCAUGUUGUUAUCUAGAUGAAAGGAAAUCUAAAGGUCUGUGAUCCUGAUUCGUAAACUCUUUCUAUGCUCUGCAAAUUCCAAAUUCCUCACCAUGAGCAAUGCUGGUUAGGGUUGAUGGAACUUGCAGUUCAUCAGGAUUUGUGGGCGAUCAUGACAGUCUCUCCUAAAAUACAUACUGUGUUGCAAACCAAUAUUUUCAACCUUUGCCUUCUGGUCUUUACAUUUUAUCAUAAAACUAAAACACUAUCUUGGUUUUUAUUGAUUUAUAUUUUUGGCUAAAUUUAAAUGUUUCAAAAAAUCGUUUGUUAUCUGACUUGUAAUGGAAACAAAAUGAAUUCUUGGUACAGGAGAUAAUAAGCCAAGAAGUUAUUUUAAAGAAUGCAGGCAAGCCUUAAAUGAGAUUACACUGUGAUACCUUUUUAAGAGACAGGCGUGCACUCCGGCAUGCCUCUACAAACAUUUUAGUGCAUGUACCAAGUAAGUAUUUCCCAAUCAGAGAGUAAAUCACUUAAUUCAUUUCCUGACAAUGUUUUCAUAAUGUCAAACUACAUCAUUAUUUCCCUUUGAAAAAUCUCAACAAAGAAUGUAAAUGCAUUCAGAGAAAUCGGAGCAUGUACGGGUAUGUUUGCUGCACUCUUGAGGAAAAAUAAAUAUAUGUUAACUCAGUGCACACACAAAAGGUCUCCUGUCCCCUUUGACUUCUCAUCUUGCCUUUGCCAAUAGACUUGUGCAGUAAAAAUAAGUUAAACAAUUCAAUAAUAAUGAGUGGUUCACUAUCUACCAUGCAUGGGUAGGCAUCAAAUUAAUGGGGGGCAUCGAAUCCCAUCAUAACCUGUGAUUUUUUUUUGCUGUAUUUGAAACUGUUGUUAAUAUUAAAAAAUCUGUUAAUGACAUAAUUUAAGAAUAAUUAUGAUUUUAAAGCAAUCUAAAGUGGUAACAGAUUCUGAUUUACGUAAAUUCUUUAAAAGCAAUGCCUUUCUAACUAGUAAGAAUAUCAUGGCUCUUGAUAGAUGCUUUCCAAAUGAAAUUAUGCACAAGAACACAAGAAGAGAUAUGUUGGAUCAGACCUAAGGUGUAAUCUAGUCUAGCAUUCUGUUUGGCCAGUUAGAUGUUAAAUAACUGAUCUCUAGUUAGCUGCCAUGGGAACAAAAUAUACAAUACGAUCAAAAACUAUGUAGCCAGGAACUGAAGGGGAAGAAGGAUGUUGGAAGCAGGCAAAUUUCAUUCUUUUCUUUCUUUUCCUCUUGUGGAAAUAAUAUUAUAUAAUUCAUUUCUAAGAACAAGUCCUGUUUUGCAAAAUGUAAAAAGGUGUGGUGUUUCCUGGUCUUUUUUUUCCUUUCAAAUAAAUGUUUAAAAAUAUUAUACGAAAUGGCUUGAAAAUUACCACACCUUGUUUUUCUGUAUGUCUCCUUUCCUGAAUCAUGCAGACAGCACAAGGCAGAGACAGGAAAUAAUAAUUUGGUUUUAAUUAUGAUAAGUUGCAACGUUUUCUGGAUCACAGAACUCGGACAUAACUUGUCAUACAUUCAAUUUGUAUCAAUUGAUGGCAUCAGAAGUACAAAUAUGUAAACAUGACAAAAUAGUGGUCAAACAAACAAACAAAAUAGUGGUCAAACAACAUGGCUGGCGGAAGGAAGCAAUGUCAAUUUUAAAAAGGUACCGUAUAUACUCGAAGAUAAGCCGAGUUUUUCAGCCCUUAUUUAUGAGCUGAAAAAGCCUCCCCCGGCUUAUAUUCGGGUCAAGGUCAAGCCAGCAGUGGAGCCUGGAGGCCACAGUAUGUUUUCUUUUCCAAAACCUCCCUUCUUCGCUUCUCCUCUCAGGCUGGUUAUCUUAUUUUUUUGAGAGAGAGAGACAGAGACAAGAAGCCAAUGUUUUCAAAAGUGAAAGGAGAAUGUGAGAGAAACAACUGCAAGCCAAAUUGCAUGGGUAGAAGGGGAAGGAAAAAAGACAUUCUUGCAAAUUUGCACGAUUCAUUACUAUUACUACUACUACUACUACUACUACUACUACUGCAAGAACAUUUGAGUCCAAAGGGAUGGAAGGAGGGGAAAGAGAGCAACAGAAGGUGUGUAGUUCUUUUUAUUCCUAAGGAAACAAAAAUGAGGUGGGUUUUUUUGGGAGGGGGAGAGAAGUUUUAAAAAGCCCUUUCUGGCUACUUUUAGAGUUUGAAAAAGGGAGAAAGAAAAGAGGUGGGAAAGGGCAGGAGAAAAGAGGACAAAGUUGUUUUCAGGGGGACUUUGUUUUGAGAGGAUUUGCAAAGGUUUCAGGGGGAAAUACACAUGUGAAAUUAGUAUAUAUAAUGAUAGAUCUAUAUCUAGCUCUGCAUUGUUUAUGUAGGCAUUAUAUGUUUGCCUGUUACUAUGUUGGAAGCUGGCCUGAGUCCCCAGGGGGAGAUAGAUAGGACAGGGUACAAAUGAAGCUGUUGAUGAUGAUGAUGAUGAUUAUAAAGUUAUUGUUGCUUUUCCACUUAUAGAGUUAGUUUACUGUUUUCCUUUGAAAUACAGUAAAUAUUCAAAACAUUUAACCCACUGAUGCCUCAAUUAAUAUAAUUUUAUUGGUAUCUAAUUUUAUUUUUGAAAUUUACCAGUAGCUGCUGCAUUUCCCACCCUCGGCUUAUACUCGAGUCAAUAAGUUUUCCCAGUUUUUUGUGGUAAAAUUAGGUGCCUCAGCUUAUAUUCGGGUUGGUUUAUACUCGAGUAUAUACGGUAAGUUAUUUUCAACCAAAAUCUAUAUUGAAUAACACUGAGCAACACACAUUUUGGUGCCUCAAAUGUUAGACCUGUUUCUGGGUAUAUUUCACUUGCUAAUUCCAAAAAGCUCUAGUUUUUGAGAUUCAGAACAUAUGCCAUAUACCACUCUUCACUCUCCUCACUCAUAAAAAAUCAGGAUAACCAUAUCUAAGAAACUAGAGAUGAUGCAGUUUAGCCAAUGCAAUUUUCUGAAUCAAUGCCCCAAAUAACCCCAGGGACAGGUCUAAAAAUCAAGACAUCAAGAUUUUUUCUGUUGGACUGUGUAAUUUCUGUUGCAGAAUUUGUUUUUUCUCUGGUGCAUGUGUUAAUUUGUUUUUGUAUAUGUAUAUCUAAUGUCUGCCUAAGCUACGGUUUCAAGAGUUGUGAAUAAGCCUCUUCAGUUUAUGUGUCCCUCCCUUCCCUCUUGCCUUCAUUUCUCGUCUAGAUAAUAGGUUGAUAAAUGAUAAUUUCUUCCUUUUUUCUAAACAUAAUUUACCACAUUUUUGGCUCUGUAAGUGUGUUUCAUGUGAAUUGUGUUUCAUUUAAACAAGCCAGCUUCAGAAACCAUUAUUAUGAGGGCGGCUUGCUUUAAAAUAACCAAAAUCAAAGCUGACCACUGUUUGUUGGUUAGAAUGGCAUCACAUCAGUCAAAAGUAGAAUAAACAUGUUUACACUCCUGCUGUAACCAUAGAGCUGUAGAAAAGGAGAAUAGGAGUACAGCAGGUGGGGAAAUGGGUAGGAUAAUUCAAAUACUGCCAAACUAUAACUUAAGGCCCUUCUAGACAGGGCCCAAAAUGCAGGGCUUGUCGAACGUUUACCGAAGACGUCUAAACAAUGUCUCUGAUAAAAGAGAAUUAAUUCAGGACAAAACAGUGGGAAGGUAAAAGGGUGCUCUGUGCAGAUAUGCAGACAUGCUGGCAACAUGAUUGGUGAGAAUAGCCUCCUCGGCAUGGAAAAUGGAACAAGAGCACCUCCCCAUAGCUGGAGUUGAGCAUCACCUCCAGACACUGAAAAUGAAAAAGGGGAAGGCUUUUACCUUUGUCUGGGUACGUGCAUGUCCUUGCUGUUGUUCACUGUGUACUGUAAUCCGCUCUGAGUCCCUCUGGGGAGAUAAAGCGAAAUAUAAAUCAAGUAUAUUAUUAUUUCUCUCUGUGUGCAUAUGUGUCUUAAACUUUUUAUAAAACAUUAGUAGAUAUUAAAUUCCACUUGCAAGCAUUAUUGAGACUUGUUGGCUUGGAUUUUUUUAAUGGUUUUCAUUCUUUUGCCUCUUUUCAAGCAGCGGUGGCUGUGGUGACUCAGAGAAGAUGUGGGCAGUCAUCAGCAGUCUUUGCAAACAACAAAGGCCAGCUGUCUUUCUAGGAUGUGGUUCUGUUAAAAGGUAGUUGUCAUCUCCCCACUGGCAUGAGAAAUGAAGGGUCCAAGCUAAGCUCUAAAAUCUUUGCUACAAUUGAGUCACGAAGCUGCAAGGUGGCAAUGUGCAAAACAAUCAUUUGGGUCUGGCUCCCAGAAACUUCAAUGCUAGAGGAGCAGGAAAGUCAGGUAUAAAACCAUGCAUUUCCCAAUUCCACAUCCUUGUGGCUAUGUUGCCUGUCCUAUUUGGAGCAAUGCAAGGCCAACCAGCUUCUGAUGAUUGAUUACACAUAUACCCAAAGGUGGAAUCCUUAGCAUUGGCAAUGAGUAAUUCUUUUCAUUUUUAAAAUUAAGGACAAUCUCUUCUCUAGUUAGCUCAGUAUGAGACCACCGUGUAUUUCAAAGGACAGAUGUAAAUGCUCUCAAAGAUAAACCACACUUAAUGGAAUCUUUCUUCAAGCCACAGAGUAUAAUAGGCCUGUCUAAGCCCACAGAAUCAUGGUAACCUCAUACCAUCAUAAAAUUAACUACAAAAGAAGCAUUACUGGAUACAAUUAAUCACUAAAGCACUUAGGCAGAAGUAUUUAGAACGAUAAGCCAAGGUUUUCUCACCAGCUCAAUUUAUUUGUAAAUAAUAGGGCUAAAAAGCACACUUAUAGCACAGGUAUUUAGUUGGCUUAGUGAACACCAAUCUAUGGUUUUAGUACUUGGACAAACUGAAAGCCUGGGAGAGGGGAAACUGGGAAAAUUGAGGACCAGUGAAAUAGGCAAGCUAGUCUAGACUUCAAUAUUUUUACCAGAUAUGGGUAAGUUAUCUUAUUGGACUGCAACUUCCAGAAUCUAGCAACCAGAAUGAUUCAUAUAAAAAGAAACAAUUUUAUUCUUUGAUAUAUUUAUAGCUUGUUUAAGCUAUUUGAUCCAACAUAUGUAAUAAAUGUAUAUGAUAUGGACACUAAUUUCACCAAUGGCACUGUGGUGAUGGAUUACCUGCUCCUCGGAGGUAAGAAGGUACGCUAAAGAGGUCUCCCAUGUCAGACAGACUUUUGCCGAAAAUAAGACCUACCUGAAAAUAAGCCCUAGCAUGAUUUUUCAGUAUUUUUGCAGAUGCUCAAUAUAUAAACCCUACUUCAAUAAUAAGCCCUAGUUAUAGUUCAUUAAAAGUUAAUUUAAAUAGUGUCCAGGCAGCUAUACAUAGGCCCUAAUGAAUGCUUUGGAACAAAAAUCAAUAUAAGACCUGGUCUUAUUUUGGGGAAACAGGGUAAGAAACCAGAAUAAAUGUACCAAAUAAUUUCUGGGAAAUAGCAGCAGUGGGGAGUAACACUGGUGAAGGAUCCCUUAGAGACAACAGCAAGGACAACAUAGCCAACAAUUGUUUGUAUAGUGCAUAAGGAGGCACAGUAAAUCCCUUUUGAAUUGGUCAAGCACCAAAGGACAGAAGAGAAUCAAAACUAAGGGUGACAGAAAUAGAGUCAGAACUCUGAAGAAAGGGGGGCACUUGGAACUGCAGUAACUACAGGACCAUUACAUUAACCUCCUAUACUUUGAUUGUGUGUUUCUGCAUGGCAAAAGGUUGGACUGAAGGGUAAUUGCAGUCUCUUUCAACUCUAUGACCCCACUAGUGAUUUCCUGACUGUUUAAUAGGACACACUUUUUUCAUGUAGGAGUGACUUGAGAAACUGCAUGUUGCUUCUGAUGUGAAAGAAUUGGCCAUCUGCAAGGACAUUGCCCAGGGGACGGGCAAUGUUUUACUAUCCUGUGGGAGGCUUCUCUCAUGUCCCCACAUGGGAAGCUGAAGCUGACAAAAGGGAGCUCACCCCACUCCCCAGAUUCAAACCACCAACCUUUUUUUGUCAGCAGUCCUGCUGGCACAAGGAUUUAACCUAUUGCGCCACUGGGGGCUCACACUGAAUGUGCCUUAUUAAUUAAUUUCUUGAAUAAACUAGUUGUUGGCAUUGAACUGGAUGAUAUGGGCUAAAACCUUUCUAUUCAGGCAGGCUUUUAAAGAUGAAGGCUUCUAAAGAUGAAGGAACAGGGCUUUGCUUGUUAGUAGCCAGCUGCAAUAAAUCACUACUGACCAAGAGGUCAUGAGUUCGAAGCUAGCCCUAGUUGGAGUAAGCUCCCUACUAUUAAUAGUCUAGCUUACUGUUGAUUUCUGAUUUUCUGAUUUCAGAAAUUAUAACAAUUUUAAACCAAAUAAGGAGGAAACUGACUCCAAUUCAUAUAGGCCUAUCACAUUAAGUAAUGUGGACUAUAAAAUAUUCACAAAAAUUACAGCAAAUAGAUUGAAAGAGAUAAUGCCCACUUUAAUUGAGAAAGAUCAGUAUGGGUUUAUCAAAAAAGGAAUGAUUGCUGACCCAAUCAGAAAUAUUGUAUAUGUAAUCGACCACGCAACAAGAGAGAAAACAAAAUUACUCUUAAUAAAACUAGACAUCUACAAAGCAUUUGAUACAAUAAAUCACAAUUACUUGGCCAAAUUAUGUGAGGAGUGUAAUUUAGGAAAAAAGAUGUGUGGAGUAAUUAGAGAAUUAUACAAAGAAAAUCAAGCUGAAGUAAUAGUAAAUGGAUCAAAUUCAAGAACUAUUGAAAUAAAAAGUGGAACCAAACAAGGUUGUCCUCUCUCCCCACUACUUUUCGCCCUAGCAACAGAACCUCUAACUAACCUAAUUAGAUCAGACAAAAGUAUAAAAGUGUAUAAGAUACAGAGAGAAGAAAUAAAAAUUAAUUUAUACGCAGAUGACACGAUAGUCCUAAUAGGCAUAAUGGAGGACUCGGUAAAGUAAAUUGCCUUUGUGUCUGUCUAUAUAUGUCAUAUGUCUAAUGGAAUUAAAAGUUUGCCAUGUAUAUGUGCAUUGUGAUCCACCCUGAGUCCCCUUCGGGGUGAGAAGGGCGAAAUAUAAAUUCUGCAAAUAAAUAAAUAAAUAUUAAAGAUGAAGAUUUUUAAGAUCAA